rnacentral:rRNA from 1 species
UAUGGCUGUUCGCCAUUUAAAGUGGUACGCGAGCUGGGUUUAGAACGUCGUGAGACAGUUCGGUCCCUAUCUGCCGUGGGCGCUGGAGAACUGAGGGGGGCUGCUCCUAGUACGAGAGGACCGGAGUGGACGCAUCACUGGUGUUCGGGUUGUCAUGCCAAUGGCACUGCCCGGUAGCUAAAUGCGGAAGAGAUAAGUGCUGAAAGCAUCUAAGCACGAAACUUGCCCCGAGAUGAGUUCUCCCUGAGACUUAGAGUCUCCUGAAGGAACGUUGAAGACGACGACGUUGAUAGGCCGGGUGUGUAAGCGCAGCGAUGCGUUGAGCUAACCGGUACUAAUGAACCGUGAGGCUUAACCUUACAACGCCGAAGCUGUU